GUGCCAGCAGCCGCGGUAAUACGUAGGGUGCGAGCGUUGCCCGGAUUUAUUGGGCGUAAAGGGCGCGCAGGCGGUUCGGCACGUCCGUUGUGAAAUCGCCCGGCUCAACUGGGCGGGGUCAGCGGAUACGGCCGAACUUGAGCAAGCUAGGGGGCAAUGGAAUUCCCGGUGUAGUGGUGGAAUGCGUAGAUAUCGGGAGGAACACCAGUGGCGAAGGCGGUUGCCUGGAGCUUUGCUGACGCUGAGGCGCGAAAGCGUGGGGAGCGAUCCGGAUUAGAUACCCCCGUAGUCC
rnacentral:rRNA from 1 species